rnacentral:lncRNA from 1 species
CUCGGGUGGGGGCGGGAAGCCCGUCCGCUGUCAGGCUCCCAGGUGCUGACCCUCUUGGAGCCGCGGAGGAGGAAGGAAGGUCCAACCAGUUGCUGGAACCAAGUUCCAAGAAGGCAGCUUCCUGAAAUAGGACUGGAGGAAAAACUCACAGAUAUACCGCGUGCAUUGCUGUAGCCCCAAAGUUGGACAAGGACUUGAGAAGAGCUUGGCGAGUGGCCUCCCUGAGGACCCAGGGACCACUGUUCCUCAUCUCGUAACCCUCUGCCUACAUACCUUCUGCUCCAACGACACAGGACCAUCUGCUGUUCCCCCAAACAAGCCAGUAUAGCCUGUAUGUGUAGCCUGUCAUCACUAUAUAUUAAGGGAGAGAAGCAUUAGCUAAAUUGCCACUAAUGAAAAACUUCAUCGGACUGAAAUUGAGUACCAGAGCUUCAUCUGUACAAAACCACAGCAUCCUACAACUAUUUUGGAGAGGAAUUCAUAAAUUCUUAGAGAGGGAAGUCAAGAACCAAGAAUCUCAUAGCAAAGCAGCUACUUAACAUAAACAAAGUUAUUCCUACUGAGGAUUCUGAGGACUCAUCAAAGGAGAGGUGAUUACAGAGCCACAGCAAUGGAAAUCUGCUGAAAACAGCUGGUGUGACAGUGCUGAAUGGGUGUGUUUUAUACAUAUGGGAAGAUGCCGCUCCCUGAUUUUAAUAUGCAACUUCAAAAAGAUGCAGGUGUCUCUAAAAGCUAAAAAGAAUAACAAUUAAAAUAAUAACUAACUUUUAUUAAGUCCUAUAUAUUAAUAAAGGUUCCAAAGCACUUUA